UACAAACACACAAUUAGAAAUAGCUUUGUAACAUCAAAACAUAACCUCAUACUUCUACACCUAAAAGAGGAGGAGACAGAUUUCUUUAUUCACAGCUUUGAUGCCAUAUGAUAAAGAGUCAACCAUGCACAGACUACAGGAAUACAAAAGGCUGAUUGUGAAAGAGCCCAAAAAACAAUCCAUUCAUUCAAGAAUGUUAUUACAAUACAAACGGUUAAUGAGAAACGUACAUUAUGCCGGUCAAACUAAACUGUUGGUCAACUGAUGUCCUUGUAUUAAAGCAGUUGUUCUGAGACUGUUGGAGUGAGGCUGCCUCAUAAAGCAGAAAUAUAUGUACUUCAUAGAUAUCCACAGAUCUUUAUGGUGAUUCCUAAACAGUCAACUCUAACUGACUUUGGACUCCAGCAGCUGAGGAGGCUGGUUGCUUUAUCUUGGAGAAAAAUGGGCGUACCUUCGAUACAUGUAUGGAUAAAGGAGAUGGCAUCAUGUAUUGUGUUGGAGAGACUGACUUACAUGACAAAAGGGAAAUGUGCGAAAUUUUCAAAAAUGUGUGAAAAACUUUAAAGUUUUAGGUGUCAGCUUGAAACUGCUGUGUGUUGAUGUGUAUCGGUGAGUGUUUUAUUUGAUCUGUUUUGUUAAAAGGUGUGGAGUUUGUGAAAUGUUUUGCGGAAACUGUGAUUAAUAAAGUAAUUAAUUGUUAAAUAUUGUUGAAAAAAGUGUUAGUGCUGUUUUGGAGUUGGAGUUCUGUUCUUCCUGUUUAGCCUUCGCUCUCUACCACAGUGGUAAAAGUCUCCAGAUGCUGCAGUACUUCAGGUCACACCAUCUGGCAACAGUUAAGCUGCUUCAGCCAAUGUGAGAAUUGCCCAACCUUUAUAAUCCCACUGGAAACAAGUGCCAACGACCAACAGACAGGUCGGCAGACUAAAGCCUGAAAUCCCACUGGAAAAACCUGUUGAAGAACUAUAAGAUGUAAUGUAAGAGAAUCAAGUUCUGAACGUGUUUCACGUGUUUCACAAGACAAUACGAGGCCUUGUAUGUUGGUGUUGGCACUCAGACAAACAGGGAUGACCUGAGGCAAACAUCAAUAAUAAAGACAGGACAGGACAUUAGAAGAAUCGAGUUGAUUAAAAGUGAUUCCCACAAAGUAUAGUGUUACAUCACAACCUGACAUCUCCCUUUAAAAAAUUUCAUCAGCUGCAAAAUCGCUACUUUGUUUAAGAGUGUGAGUGUUUAAAAUAACAACUCUAUACAAGAGGAACUAAAAAGAAAUGUGUUACAAAUGUGGUAAUCUUUAAUGUCACACUAAUAAGCCUGUAAUUAAUUUGAGCUACAUACUACUGGAUUAGUGUGAGUAAGUAAAUGAAAAUGUGGUUUGACUGUGUGUAUUGACUUGGUGAUAAACCUAAAAAAGAAAAAAAAAGAAAAACACUAGUACACCCAUUUAAUCAGCUGCAACACACACACACACACACACACACACACACACACACACACACACACACACACACACAAAGCAGAGUGAUACCGCACACCGCCGAGCCCUCCCUUUGACCUGCCUGAAUGAAAACGCUGACAGUCAGUGACACUGCAAAAAUCAACGACAGCGCCGCUCUCCUCUGCCAAGAGUAAACAGUGCAGGAGAAGAAAGAAAAAUACAAGGAAACGGUGAAAGCUACAGCUUUGCAAGCAAUAUUUUUCAGACUACAGGUUGGGAGCCACACAUCUAACAGAAGUUACCUGUGCCUGAUCCUCAAUACUACAGCUGACAUGUUGAACAGGCCAUUGCUUUUUUGGGUUCACCACAUCCAGGCAGCACUCCCAGCCAAUGUUUUCCAACUGCAGAAAAAAACAAAAAUACAAUUGUGUUCCAGAAAACCCAUUUGAAGUCGUCCAUCCAGACCUCAGCCAGGCGGACCAGGUUGCGUGCAAUUACAGCCUUGCCAUUUGGGUAUGUGUGGGGGCUAUGAGUGCGGAAAAUGUGCCCUACAACAGAACAAGGAAUAAUCUCCAGCUGACCUCCACAUUGCCAGACCUGCAGUAGAGAGGCAACACAGCAAAACUCUUUAAGAGACAUAUGGGUUGACACAAAGGGUUUACCAUUUGCGCCUGGUGCACUGAGAUCUUGGAUAGGCCUCUGGAGGUGAGGCUUCAGCUCCUCUUCAGUGUAAAAGCCAC